UACAGAGGGUGCGAGCGUUGUUCGGAAUUAUUGGGCGUAAAGGGCGCGUAGGCGGCGCCACAAGUCACUUGUGAAAACUCUGGGCUCAACUCAGAGCCUGCAAGCGAAACUGUGGUGCUGGAGUAUGGGAGAGGUGCGUGGAAUUCCCGGUGUAGCGGUGAAAUGCGUAGAGAUGUGGAGGAAUACCGAUGGCGAAGGCAGCCCCCUGGGAUAACACUGACGCUCAUGCACGAAAGCGUGGGGAGCAAACAGG
rnacentral:rRNA from 1 species